rnacentral:rRNA from 1 species
UACAGAGGGUGCAAGCGUUGUUCGGAAUUACUGGGCGUAAAGGGCGCGUAGGCGGCCUUCUCAGUCAGACGUGAAAUCCCCCGGCUUAACCUGGGAACUGCGUCUGAUACUGGGAGGCUGGAGUUCGGGAGAGGGAUGUGGAAUUCCAGGUGUAGCGGUGAAAUGCGUAGAUAUCUGGAGGAACACCGGUGGCGAAGGCGGCAUCCUGGACCGAAACUGACGCUGAGGCGCGAAAGCCAGGGGAGCAAACGGG